UACGAAGGGGGCUAGCGUUGUUCGGAAUCACUGGGCGUAAAGGGCGCGUAGGCGGCCGAUCAAGUCGGGGGUGAAAGCCUGUGGCUCAACCACAGAAUUGCCUUCGAUACUGUUUGGCUUGAGACCGGAAGAGGUUAGUGGAACUGCGAGUGUAGAGGUGAAAUUCGUAGAUAUUGGGAAGAACACCGGUGGCGAAGGCGGCCAACUGGACCACAACUGACGCUGAGGCGCGAAAGCGUGGGGAGC
rnacentral:rRNA from 1 species